rnacentral:rRNA from 1 species
UACGAAGGGGGCUAGCGUUGCUCGGAAUCACUGGGCGUAAAGGGUGCGUAGGCGGGUCUUUAAGUCCGGGGUGAAAUCCUGGAGCUCAACUCCAGAACUGCCUUUGUUACUGAGGAUCUUGAGUUCGGGAGAGGUGAGUGGAACUGCGAGUGUAGAGGUGAAAUUCGUAGAUAUUCGCAAGAACACCAGUGGCGAAGGCGGCUCACUGGCCCGAUACUGACGCUGAGGUGCGAAAGCCAGGGGAGCAAACGGG